GUGAGGUCCAUCAGGGCUGUCUUCUUUUGUCCUUUUUGUUUGUUGUAUAGAACCACUGGCACAGUCCUUGAGAAUGGAGGCUGGGAUUGAUGGGAUUAAGAUUCCUUGGAAUGGGGGCUUAGAGACACUACGAUAUGUACUGGCUGAUUGUGCAUGGGGUUCUGCCAACAAGGACUGUGAUGCACUCCAGGAGCACAGGGAAGACAUCAAAGUGUCCAGUGGAUGGAUGUGAGCAAGAAGAAACCAUCCAUCAUGUGCUUUGGGAGUGUGGUGCUGCAAAAGAGAUACGACCCUACCUGCAUACCCGAUUCCGCCUAGCCCUACUGGACUCGUUCACUACCCGACCUGCAGAGGGUUCAUCACACCACUCAUGACAAUUAACAUCUGCAACAGUGUUGUUUCUGCUCAUACCAACUGUAGCAGUGCCCAUUGAGCUUAGGUCCGACCAGCUGCCCAAGUUUGGUCCUCAACCCUUGCCAUUCCUCUUGUUUUAGAUCUUAAAGUAAUUUGUUUAAAGCACUGGUGGAUCCAUUUUGGCCUGAAAUCGGGACCUAACCAUUAGUCUAACCAUAGUUAGAAAAUCUGGUACAGCAACCGUUGGCAUGUUUUUAAGUUACUUUUAUUAAUUUAACAGACUAGUAACAGUCACUCUGAUUAACAUUUAAAAUGUCUCUCUCAUGAUGUCACUGUUCUAACUCCCUGGGAGUACAGUAGAUGUAGUUUUCUUUUAUAAAGAAAAAAAUCUGCUCACUACAAGUGACGCUUAUUUCUCUAACCACCUUGUGCAGUAUGCUCACUUAUAAUUUCCUUUGCUUCUGGAGUGCUUACUCACUCCAGUCUGAGCCAAGUCCAUCACUCCAGAUUUGCUCUGCUCAGUCAGAUAAAAAAAAAUGAAAAUCCACUGCCUUACAAUUGGAGCUGCCUCUAUAUUUUGUCUUCGUUUUGUGGAAACUUCUCCGGCAGGAUUUCUUAAACCCACAAACCUACUGGCGUUCAUAGCACCUGAACUCUUUACUUAAAUGAAUCACUGCUUGACUCAGCAACUUGUUUGCUUAGAACUUUUGCAAGUUUUUUUUUCUACUCAGAUGUUGGAAAUGUUAAUUUACCUAAGAAACAUAGUAGUUAAAAAACAAUAUGGUCUGUGGGUCCCCAGGACCAACAUUGAGAACCCCCG